rnacentral:ncRNA from 1 species
AAUGGACGUGACAAAGGAUCGUGAUCUCGCGAGGGUGAGCUAACUUCAAAAACCCGUCCUCAGUUCGGAAUGUAGGCUGCAACUCACCUACAUGAAG